CCUACGGGAGGCAGCAGUGAGGAAUAUUGGUCAAUGGACGAGAGUCUGAACCAGCCAAGUAGCGUGAAGGGUGACUGCCCUAUGGGUUGUAAACUUCUUUUAUAUGGGAAUAAAACGUUCCACGUGUGGGAUUUUGUAUGUACCAUAUGAAUAAGGAUCGGCUAACUUCGUGCCAGCAGCCGCGGUAAUACGGAGGAUCCGAGCGUUAUCCGGAUUUAUUGGGUUUAAAGGGAGCGUAGGUGGAUUGUUAAGUCAGUUGUGAAAGUUUGCGGCUCAACCGUAAAAUUGCAGUUGAAACUGGCAGUCUUGAGUACAGUAGGGGUGGGCGGAAUUCGUGGUGUAGCGGUGAAAUGCUUAGAUAUCACGAAGAACUCCGAUUGCGAAGGCAGUUCACUGGACUGCAACUGACACUGAGGCUCGAAAGUGUGGGUAUCAAACAGGAUUAGAUACCCCAGUAGUC
rnacentral:rRNA from 1 species